ACCGAAGACCAGGAUGUUCUUGCCGGACGGCAGCUUGGACCUGGCGCGGGUGGACACUUCGCUCAGAAUGGAGGACCUGUGGCGACAAUGGCAAGAGUGGUCAGCCCCGGGCCGGGCUGGGAUGGCCCGGCUCGCGUCGGCCCCUCAGUGUGUCCGACGGUCCGGCCCAGAGGCCGCGCCCCCCACGGCCCGGCCCGACCGCCCGCGGCCUCACCAUAGGCUCUGGCCUUCCUCCUCCUCACUGGUCAGGUCGCCGGCGGCCGCCACCGCGGGCCCGUUGGGACCUAGCAGCAGCUUCUUCUCCACCCCCACCGGCGCCAUCUUGCCAACUGCAGCCACAAAGAGGGCCCUCCCCCGGGCCCGCCGAGGACCCGCGAGGACCCGGGCCGGGCCGCCCCCCGCUCGCCGUCCCUCGCGCCGCGCCGCCCGCCGACCUUGCCGCGGCGACUGCGCCGCCCAACGUGUCCUCUAGAUGAGGAACCUGAAGCUCAAAAAAUUUAAGAAACCCACCCAAGGACCCAAGGCUAGAAGAUAACAUUCGGUACUUCUAAUUUAUUCCCCAACCUUGGACCAUUAUAUCAUGAACUUGGCCUAACCCUACUCAAGCCCUGCAUUGAAAGACUAGCCUUAAGGAAGACCCCAGAAUCCUCAUAAAUAUCCUGCAUUUCCCCCUCCUCCUCCGAAGACUAAAGACUGUGAAGUAGUGCUCUUGACCGCAGUGCAUAAUACACUUGGCUUUGCUUUAUUAACAUGCUUUUUAAAAUGAUGUUUUCAGGGAGCCAGCAUUUCACACCAGAAGAGGAGCCCUUAAUUUCCUUGGGGGCCAGCUGGCAGGUGCAGAGCGGGGAGAAAAAUAAAAGGAAAGGGGAUGGAAAAGGGAAAGAGCGGAGAGUAACCGAAGGAAAAACAUACAUUCCAUUAUCAAGCUUAAUUUUAGGUGUGGCCUCUACUUGAGGGCUCUUGCCAUUCUCUAUGGAAACAGGCUAACAAGACAUUUCUAAAUAUCACAAGGAAGUGGAAUGUGGCAGAAAAGCACCACCUAAGUAGGUUUCAGAUGAGUAGGAUUGUGAUCCUGAUGCCAAAAAAUCUGGCGGCAUGAAUUACGGGAUAAAACAAAUGGGCAUAUCAUCUGCCAAACUGGAUGUAAGGUUUAAACAAGACGAGAGUGAAAACCCACUGAGUUCCUCCCUUGGAAAUCUGGGAAAAUCAGGCAAAGUGCCAGAAGUCCUAAAAGGGCAAGCAGUGCUGAAUUUUCACAGGACAGAAGAUGGAGAUGAAAAUUACAGGCCAGUGAGCUUAAUCAGCACUAAGUGAAAUUUUGUGAUUAAACACUAAAGGAAAAGAGAAUACCAGAUUUACACAGUAUCUUUCUUUUUUGCAGGAGUACCAGGUAGGCGGAUGCUGCAGAUACAGCAAAUGCAGAUUUCAACAGGGCAUUUGACAAUUCACAUCUUAGAUGCGAAAGUGAAAUCAAUGCUGGAUGAUAGCACUGAGGCUUAUUAAAGACUAGCCCAGAGGUGGCUGAUGAAGAGGAGGGACCAGCAGAUGAGGCUGCUAGGGGCCUGCCCAAACCUCCUGCCCUGGCCAGCCAAUUCAGGGUGCCAUCAGUGACUUGGAUAAGAAUACAGCAGCAGUCAUGGAAGUUGUGGAUGACCUGAAGCAGGAAGGGUUGCCUUAUCUACUGCAUGACAAACUGAGCAGAGACUAAAUCUAACAAGUUGAAAUUUAGCAGGAACUAUUAAAGUCCUGUGGAAGAGUUUAACAAAAAAGCAUAGGAAGGCCAGGUACGGUGGCUCACACCUGUAAUCCCGGCACUUUGGGAGGCCGAGGCUGGCGGAUCACUUGAGGUCAGGAGUUCCAGACCAGCCUGUCCAACAUGGCCAAACCCCGUCUCUACUAAAAAUACAAAAAAAAAAAAAAAAAAUUAGCCAGGAAUGGUGGCAUCCGCCUGUAAUCCCAGCUGCCUGGGAGGCUGAAGCACGAUAAUUGCUUGAACCCAGGAGACAGAGGCUGCAGGGAGUUGAGAUCACACCACUGCACUCUAGCCUGGGCGACAGAGUAAGACUGUCAAAUAAAGUAAAAUUUAAUUUAAAAAUGCAUAGGAAUAGGAUAGGAAAUUAUUUGAAAUAAAAAUGAUAAUCUAAACGUCAUUACUGUAUUAACUAUAAUCUAAGAGUUGGUCAUGUAGAAUGCCAAGAAACAUCUUAGGGUAGAACCCAUAAAACCUCACUGAUGCUAACAAAGAAGCUAGCCCCCCAUGCCAGUCAGGCUGGAUUUCUUAGGGUGACAUUUCUGGACACAUUUUGCAAAGACAGAGGUAUCCAGUGGUCAGUGACUAAACUCAUAAGGGGACAAGACAUCGUUCUGCUGCAACAUGAAGUAACUAGGGCUCAUCAGUAUGAAGGAUAAAGAUACAGAGGGAGAAGAAGGGAAAGUGUAGACAUUUCUGAAAAGCUAAAGCAAAUAAACAUACACCAAAAAGAAGUGAACCUGACUAUAUGAUGUGGGAGUAUUCAAAGCAACUGCAUAAUUAGUCUUUAGAAGAAGAAACUUUUUUUUUUUCCUCUAGGAUACUACAAUAAACAAUAGAAGAGGAAACUUUUUUAAGAGAUAGGGUCUUGCUCUUGUCCAGGCCAGAGUACAGUGAAACACUCAUAACUAACUACAACCUCGAACUCCUGGGCUCAAGCGAUCCUCCCACUUCAGCCUCUCAAGUAGUUAGGACCACAGGGGCAUGCCACCACAUCCAGCUAAUUUUUAAAUUUUUUUGUAAAGAUAGGGGUCUCACUAUGUUGCCCAGGCUGGUCUCAAACUCCUUGCCUCAAGUGAUCCUCCCACAUUGGCCUCCCAAAGUGCUAGGAUUACAAAUAUGGGCCACCACCACAGCCAAGGAAACAUUUUAAUUAACAAAAUGUCAAAUAUUGAUUUAGUGUAUGGGAACCUUAGUUAAAUAGCUUGGGGAACUAUUCUUUCUGAAUUCUGGGGAGGGACUUUUGUACCAUAUAAAAAUACUAAAAUCCAAAUGUCCCACAUAGUAUUUAUUGCAAUAUAAUGUCAAAUAACAUUUAAAGGCUAAUUCUUUUCUCUGUGUCCUUUAAGCUUAAGGAAAAAUAAAAGCAUAUUCCUAAACAAAUGUUUGAUCUUAUGAAGGAAUUUUCUUACUAAUCUGUACACUGAUGAUAUAUUUGCUUUAUAAAUCAUUGUAAUUUGAUGAGUUUCAGCAUCACAAAAACUGUUUAAUGAAAACUGUAUCCUCAUUUCCACAUUCCUUCUCAUGAGAGUUUAGAAAAAUACUUUAAAUGUAUCUUUCAAGGCACUGUAUUUUAAGAAUCCAAACUAAAAACUGACAGUCUUCUUUCAAUCAAGAAGCUGCACACGUGGGGUGUUUGGUCAGCUUGUGGUAUUUGUGAGCAAGGUCCACAGCCUUCCGUCCUUGCUGAAAGGGGAAAGACCACAAAAUUGAAUUCCAGUGAUUUCCCAUUUUCUUAACUCCAUUGAAAAGGUAAUUUACUUCUUCUUCAGUAAAGUUUUUGCGAAUUCUUCUUUUUUCUAUAAUUAGAAUUGUAGAAUAUAUUAGUAUUUGCUGAACAAAGGUCCUGAGAUGCAAAUAAGUGCUUAUUUGGAUAUGCUUAACUUAUACCUAAGGAUAUAAACUACAGAGUGAGAAAUGCCAGGGCUUCUCAUCAUGUGGAAACCCACUUCAAUUUUAAAAACCUGAGUGCCUAAUAUUAAGCUAGUUGCUAUCACUGUGACUUCUUCAGUAAUUAUAACUUAAUUGACAGUAGUAAUACAACAUCUUUCAGUCAAGAAACAAAAGUUUAUAAACAUUUGAUUGUUAAUUCAACAUUCCUGUGAGGACAGUUAACAAACAUCUUACCGGCCAGGCACGGUGACUUAUGCCUAUAAUCCCAGCACUUUGGGAGGCUGAGGAAGGUGGAUUACUUGAGGUCAGAAGUUCGAGACCAGCCUGGUCAACGUGGCAAUAAUCUCUCUCCACCAAAAAUACAAAAAGUAGCCAGGCAUGGUGGCACGUGACUGUAGUCCCAGCUUCUCGGGAGGCUGAGGCACAAGAAUUGCUUAAACUCGGGAGGCAGAGGUUGCAGUGAGCUGACAGCACACCACUGCACUCCAGCCUGGGCGACAGAGCAAGACUCUGUCUCAAAAUAUAUAAAUAAAUAAAAAUAAAAAACAGCUUACGUAUCUUAGAGAUACAGUCUUCCCAAAGGGCUCCAUAACUUGAUAGAAUAGAAAAGAAUAUCAACACUUGUUAAAUAUUAGGUUUGAUAAUAUUUUUAAGAAUAAGGGUCUUUUGAAAUUUGCUUUUAAAAACACAUGGUCAGCUAGAUCAAAACUCAAAAUAUAGGCUGCACAAUGAGGAAGGAAGUUUUUAACUAUUUGGUUUUUAAGGGAUACUUUCUAUAAAGAAAGAAUAUACAGCUGGUAUCUGUAAACAAAUAUUUUCUGGUGAUGAUUACUAGGAAAUAGUUUUCUUUAAGCUUUUUCAUUCAUUAUUAUCUCAUCUUAUCAAUGUGGGUAGAUGCUGGUGAGGAGAAGUUUUCUGUAUUUCCAGUUGAGGCUGUUAUUUACUUUCGUAGUACUGGGUGCAGUUGUCCUGGGUCACCCUUAGAAAACCUUGCCCUUGCAGGCCAAGACAGCCAUUUGUUUACCUUUUCUAAGAGCCACAGUUCAGACCUUUUAAAACAGAUGAAAAAAUCUUCCCAGCAGAAGGUUAUCAGUGUAAAUGUCUGAUUAUUACUUAAUAGUAUUAUUUAGAAUGUAAGCUCCAUGAGGGCAGCAAUUUUGAUCUAUUUUAUUCACCAUUGUAUCCCCAGUGCUUAGAAUAGUAUCUGACACACAGUAGGUAGUCAAUAAAUACUUGUUGAGAGAAAAAAUUUAUUGGUAAAACUAUCUCAAAGCUUAUCAAUGAAAUUAUUCUUUCAUUUUGGGUGUACUGGAAAACUGUGGCUAUCCAAGAAAUAGGUUUCAACUUCCCUUGCUAAAUGAUUUGAACCCAUAAUAAUCAGGACUAGAUUGGUUACUAUAACUUUCAGGAUAUUGAGCCCUGGAGUUGAUCAUGUAAAGCCCCACUUUUCCAUUGUGGCUGCCAUCUCCCUGACUUUUAUACUUAAUAUCUGUGCCCAAAUCUUCAAAGAUUCCUACAGCAGAGUACUGAGCAGCCUGGAAGAAGGAAGCAGCUCUCUACACCCCAAGCUCCCCGCUCUGUGACUUCUUUAGUGCUCCUUGUAAUAUUAGGUAUUAGGGAAGAGCAAGGGAAAAUGGGCAAGAGGGCUUAAUUCUAAGGACUCUUUUAUUUUUCAAGCCCUCUCAAAACACCAAUCCAUCCUGAAAUAGAGACUUGGGGAAAUCUGUAAAUGCUUAGGACAGUGGUUCCUUCUCAGAAGAAUGGGCUCACAUUUGAGUAUAAAGUAUAAUUAAAUGAACGGUGGUGAGUAUCCUAAAAAAAGGUUAAGUUUAUCAAGGGGGAAAAAAUGGCAACAUACCAAAUAUUCCUGGCCGGCUUGUGAAAGAGAUGUAAGAAUCACUACUUUCUCAAGGUUCCUUUCUAAAUUCUAAAAAGUAGGCCAGAUUAUUUGGUUUUAGCUAAAGCAAGUCUUACCUACAAAAAAAAGGCAUGUUUUUCUGAGCUCAAUGUCACUUAACAGUAUAUAGGACUGCUGUAUAUAAUCAUUGUAUAACCAUUAUUAUGCACAUUUCAUGAAGUUCUGCAAAUUAUUUUAAUAUGCAAAUAGAUUACAGCAUAUUUUUCAUUGUUACGUACUUGCUUUGAAGACAUGUUGCUGAAAAACACCUAUUAUUAAUUUGAUGCCAAGCCCUUGUCAAGAACAAGAUCUCCAAGUGCAUGAUGUUUCUAUGAAAAAACACCCAUUUUCUAACAAUUACUAUAGAAAACAUUACUUCAGAAAGUGGGCUCAUCUGUAGUGGUACUAUACUUAAUUAUAAUUUGCAUGCAGAACUUUUAAUCUAGAAAAAGACUCAGAUAUAAAAAUCAAAUUUGAAAUUUCCUUGAAAGUUUUGGCAGUGAAAAUAGCCAAAUAAAUAUAUGUGGCAAAAUGCUUCCUGAAUGUAUCACGUCCAAAUGUCUAAAUAACAGAGUGGCUCUAUAGGUGUUACUAAUUAAUAUAUCCAACCUAUUUUAGUCUGCAGGUAUUAACUCCGUACGAAUAAAAGAAAAUGAUGAUGUUAUUUAAGUUUCUGAUACAUCGGAAAUGGUGAUCAAUGUGAAAUGUUAACCCUAUAGUUAAAUAAAAAUUCCCAUAAAUUAACUAAUUGUUUAAGAGGCAUUUUUAUUUCUUAAGCAGAGUUUUAAAGUUUAUACUAUUUGUCUCUUCAAUUUUUAUUGUUUCAAGCACUAUAGUUAUGAACAAAAACCUGCAAAGUCUCUCUGAAGCACUUGUGCAUAAUAAUUUUGUUCUUAAAAUAGAAAUGUGAGGAUAGAACAAGGGCUUCUGGAGAAUGGCUUUUUGAAUCUAAGUUCUGCCACUUACCAAGUAUUAAUAAUUAUGCCUUACAAUAGGAGCAAAUUAAUAUCUAACUUACAAUAUUGCUAUAGGAAUUAAAGGAAAUAAUAUCUAUACAACACCUAACACCUAGCAGGUGCUUAAUAAAUGUUAGUUUCCUCCUGCUCCUUCCCCUGCUGGCAGGCAGUGAGUGAGCAAGCAACAUGAAGGGAAGAGGAAAGUCUCUUUUAUUAGAAGGUCUGACCCUCAUCAGAGGCAAGGUUUAUCAUUUAAGAUCCAUUAAUAAUAAGACUGAGAACAACCACUCAGCUGUUCUUUCUCAGAAAUAUAUGAAAUUUAAGUUCAUUUAAAAAUUAAAUAUAUUCAGCCAGGUGCAAUGGCUCAUGCCUGAAAUCCCAGCACUUUGGGAGGCCAAGGUGGGUGGAUCACUUGAGGUCAGGAGUUUGAGACCAGCCUGGCCAACAUGGUGAAACCCCAUCUCUACUAAAAAUACAAAAACCAGCAGGGUGUGGUGGCACAUGUCUGUAAUCCCAGCUACUUAGGAGGCUGAGGCAGGAGAAUCACUUGAACCUGGGAGGCGGAGGCUGCAGUGAGCCGAGAUUGCUCCACUGCACUCCAUCCUGGGUAACAGAGCCAGACCCUGUCUCAAGAAAAAAAAAAUUAAAUUAAAUAUAUUCACUUAUUCCUCCAGGGGUAGUAGAUUCAUUACUGAGUCGUUGUCUUCUACGUGGGGUCAGCAGAAUUUCUGAAAAAUAUGGAAAACAUUUAGCACAUUUAGCGUAUCAAUCUGAGUAAUAGCAUAUCAAUUCCAUUAGUAUAUUUCCUUUAUUCCCCCGUCUAGUGGGAAUACUUAGAUAGAUUAGGAAGAAUUUUUAAACCAACAGUCUAAGACUACUCCCUGGGUACAUCUUCAAUUACUUGUUGCUUAGAGACAGAUUUUCUUUUUAAGAUUAUUUUAUCCUCUAGUUUUUAAUAUAUUUAAUGCUUUAGAUAAUAGUUCAGAAGGUAUAGCCAUAAUUACAAUUUUAAAGCUGCUGAAUUAAUUACUUUUGUUACAGAUAAGUGAUUUCCUUAGUUCACUUUUAUAUCUGUCUUCAGCUUCCACAAUGACUUUGUGACGAUCACAUUGGUAUGGGCAAGAGUGCAAGAGCUUGCUAAAGUUUCGGCUAUUCAGGGAUUUUUCUACUGCUAUGCAACCUAAAAGAAAACAAAUUAAAGUUAUGUGUAGAUGUCACAAAAUAUCUAGUAACAAAUCUAUGAUAGCAAAUAUCUAUAUGAUGGUAACUGAAGUAAAAUCAGGAACUAUAAACACCUCAAGAAGCUCAAAAUCAUAUGAGGGAGUAAAGACAACAAAUACAACAGAGUGAAAUAAGUGCUGGGAGGGAGGUAUGAACAGUUACGGUGCUUUAGAAAAAGAGCAUCUAGGCCGGCCACGGUGGCUCAUGCCUGUAAUCCCAGCACUUUGGGAGGCCAAGGUGGGU
rnacentral:lncRNA from 1 species